rnacentral:rRNA from 1 species
GGAUUAGAUACCCUACUACACUAAAAGGUAAUAUUAAUGACUUAAUUAUUUAUAGUUAUGUUCUUGAAAUUUGAAGAAUUUGGCGGUAGUUUAGUCUUGUCAGAGGAAUUUGUUUUUUAAUCGAUAAACCACGUAAAAUCUUACUUGUUUUUGUUAUCAGUUUAUAUACCAUCAUUAGUAGAUAAUCUUAUUAGAAAGAUAAUUAUUAAGUUUUAUUGAGAAUUAAAAUUAGAUCAAGGUGUAGCUAAUAAAUAAGUUAAAAUGAAUUACAAUAAAUUUUUAUUUAUACGGAUUUUUUAAUGAAAAUAUAAAAUUAAAGGUGGAUUUGAUUGUAAUGGAAGAUUUAAUAAGCUGAAAAGAUAUAAGUUCUAAAUUAUGUACAUAUCGCCCGUC